AUGAAUGGGCUGCUUCUGACUAAUUUUUGUCUUUUGCCAGAUGAUGUGUGAAAAUGUAGACUUGAACCCCUGAUGAGAUGGAAUGACCUGGGUCACUCAACCAAGACACAGGGAAGGCAUGCCACUGGCUGAAAUCCAAUUAGGUUAGACUGAAAAUGAAGUAACUAUUGAUUUAUUCAGUAAGACUAGAAACAUCAAUUUUAGCUGUGUGAGAAAUGAUGUCUGUGAUGUUUGACAUGAAACUUACAAAUGGACUCCACAGCAGAAGUACUGAAUGAUGGCUCAAAAGAUAUGGCCAAGGAGGGUAAUGGAAAAAGAUACAUACUGAAAGUGGAGUCAAGAGCUGGCAGAAGAGAUGGACCUGGGUACCAUUCUGUGGGAACAAAGCUGGGACGAGUCAAGACCUAUCCUGGAGUACUAGGAGCUGACAGCAUCUUCCACAGAGAAUUUCAGAACUCAUAUGGUUCUCUGACUGCUACAUGCCUUCCACUUUUUAUCUUCUUUUUUAAAAUCAAGGGUUAAAAGAAGGAUUAACAAGAAUUAACAAAAUACUGAGUCCUGAAUAUAAACAAAUGUACAUGCCAAAAUCCCUGGCAUGCAGAUGUAGCUACAGAGGUUGGUGGUAAAAUUAUACCCUUACAUUUAUUUAAUAAAAUAAAACAAGUAAUCUAAA